GAUAAGGGAGCCCAGCAGCCCUCACACAUACUUGCUCUCGGACAAGCUUUGUCAAAUGCUCCACUUUAGAAGAGGGAAUGCUAGUUAGCAUUCCUGGGAGAAGUGAGUCUCUAUGGCUUGCCCUUUUGAAACUGGUUUCCAAACAAAAUGCAUACUCAUGAAUAUUUAUUGAUCAUAAAAGUUUGGCAGAUUAGAGCAGAAGAAGGGUAGCAUGAGGAGUACCAACUCUUAAACCUGAGAGGACUCAUGUCUGCACUACACCUUAUACAACAGUGUCUGUGAAAUGGUUAAAGAGUAAAAACCCAAUCUGUUGCAGCCAGAAAGGAGCACUCCGGCAAGAAGAACCAGGGAGCUGACAUGUUCCUAGAUCCAGGAGCCACCCGGUGGAUUGACAAUUCUUGUCAUAAUAAGACUUCCUUGAACCAUCCCCCACCCAACCCUUUUCCAGAAAGAGUUGAAGACAAAUCUACAGUGAAUGGGAGGCCGAGGCCACCACAGUGAGUUCCAAGAGUAUGCACCACAGUGCCCCCUCUUAUUCAAUCCCAAUCAUUGCUAAGCAACUAACUGGUUGUCAGUGGUGGCAGAGAUAAAAAGCCCAUUCUGCUUCGAGAAGAAUCCCUUGGCAGAAGUUACUGUUUCCAAGCUCAAAAAA
rnacentral:lncRNA from 1 species